rnacentral:rRNA from 1 species
UACGGAGGGUGCAAGCGUUAUCCGGAUUCACUGGGCUUAAAGGGUGCGUAGGUGGGCUAGUAAGUCCGUGGUGAAAUCCCUGAGCUUAACUUGGGAACUGCCAUUGAUACUAUUAGUCUUGAAUAUCGUGGAGGUAAGCGGAAUAUGUCAUGUAGCGGUGAAAUGCUUAGAUAUGACAUAGAACACCAAUUGCGAAGGCAGCUUGCUACACGGUCAUUGACACUGAGGCACGAAAGCGUGGGGAGCGAACAGG